UGGGGAAUAUUGCACAAUGGGCGCAAGCCUGAUGCAGCCAUGCCGCGUGUGUGAAGAAGGCCUUCGGGUUGUAAAGCACUUUCAGCGGGGAGGAAGGCGGUGAGGUUAAUAACCUCACCGAUUGACGUUACCCGCAGAAGAAGCACCGGCUAACUCCGUGCCAGCAGCCGCGGUAAUACGGAGGGUGCAAGCGUUAAUCGGAAUUACUGGGCGUAAAGCGCACGCAGGCGGUCUGUCAAGUCGGAUGUGAAAUCCCCGGGCUCAACCUGGGAACUGCAUUCGAAACUGGCAGGCUAGAGUCGUGUAGAGGGGGGUAGAAUUCCAGGUGUAGCGGUGAAAUGCGGAGAGAUCUGGAGGAAUACCGGUGGCGAAGGCGGCCCCCUGGACAAAGACUGACGCUCAGGUGCGAAAGCGUGGGGAGCAAACAGG
rnacentral:rRNA from 1 species